CAAUUCGUCUUACUCCGUUGUUGC
rnacentral:siRNA from 1 species